CAUUAGAGGGCCAUUUUGCAAUUUAUGAAAAUUACUUGAUAGGGGUUGCCUGGCAGUCUAGCGUGAAAUUGAACGGAAAUGGUGAGAGGAAGUAAAGAGGUUCUGCAAAAAGCAGCCAAAACCCUAUCCGACAUCCUCGUUUGCCCUCUUUCUAAGCAACCUUUGAGGUACUGUGAGGAAUCAAAUUCCCUGAUCAGUGAUGCUAUUGGCGUUGCCUUUCCCAUAAAAAAUGGAGUACCGUGCUUGGUUCCAAGAGAUGGGAAGAUACUCGAGGAAGAAGAUGCGUCAAAACAUGAUAGUGAUACCAAUUUAUCAGCUGUGAAUUAAGAGAGUCAUGGAAGAAAUGCCUAAGAUUAAGUUGAAUGAAAAGAACAUCGGGAAUAAACUGUGUUGUAAUUCCAAUUGUCCCCUUGCCUUUGACUGAGAUAUAAUCACCAUUACCUGGUACAACCGCUAUCUAUCAGCCAGUUUUCACUUGAUUCACUGCUCAAGAAACAAGUAGCUACAAAUAGCAGUUUUUGGCUUGUUGGCUUUUGACUAGAAGAGCACCUUCAACAAAUCUUCCCUCAUCAAACUUCGUUGCUCUUGGGUUUGGAAUGCAUGUAGUACUUCUGCAAAUGUGAUUUUAGACAAAUCUCUUGUGUCUCCAAGGAAGCAAUAGAUGCUUCAUACUUUUCUGGCACCCUGACUAGAAUUUUCUCGAACAAUUCCUGAAUCAGGAAAAUUGCUGCUCAACAACCUUAUCUUGUUGGCAAUACCCAACAAUUUGUCCGAGUAUGACUUUUUCAUGCUUUGCAACUCAAAUUCCCUCAUUAAAUUAAGCACCUGCAUGUUUCUUAUUAUUUCAUCCCAGUGUACUCUUACUUUUGAUAAUUCCAAAUUUCUUUGACUGAUUUAAGAGUC